rnacentral:lncRNA from 1 species
UUUAUUUGAUGCCUUGCUCUUCAUAUUGCUAAUUGCUUUCUGGUUAUGAGCCCAAAGGAAAAGUGGGUUUCUAUGUGACAUUCUUGUCUAUUGAAUUGCAUCCCAUUGAUCAGAUCUUUUCAACUCUUAACUUUUAAAUUUUUGCUUAGGAUUAGUCUCUUAAUCUCCUCCCACUUCUUAAAUUUUAAAAUCUCUCCCCCCUUUUUUAAAAUCUUCUUUGCUUGUG